GAUGAACGCUGGCGGCGUGCUUAACACAUGCAAGUCGAACGAAGCACUUUGAAACUUUCGGGUUUCAAGGUGACUGAGUGGCGGACGGGUGAGUAACGCGUGGGUAACCUGCCUUAUACAGGGGGAUAACAGUUAGAAAUGACUGCUAAUACCGCAUAACCCGCUAGGGUCACAUGACUUAGACGGAAAAGAUUUAUCGGUAUAAGAUGGACCCGCGUCUGAUUAGCUAGUUGGUGAGGUAAUGGCCCACCAAGGCGACGAUCAGUAGCCGGCUUGAGGGAGUGAACGGCCACAUUGGGGCUGAGACACGGCCCAAACUCCUACGGGAGGCAGCAGUGGGGAAUAUUGCACAAUGGGGGAAACCCUGAUGCAGCAACGCCGCGUGAAGGAAGAAGUAUUUCGGUAUGUAAAACCCUGUCGGAUGGGACGAAACAUCCCGCAAGGGAGAUUGACUGUACCAUCAGAGGAAGCCCCGGCUAACUCCGUGCCAGCC
rnacentral:rRNA from 1 species